rnacentral:rRNA from 1 species
UACGAAGGGGGCUAGCGUUGCUCGGAAUCACUGGGCGUAAAGGGUGCGUAGGCGGGUUUUUAAGUCAGAGGUGAAAUCCUGGAGCUCAACUCCAGAACUGCCUUUGAUACUGAAAGUCUUGAGUGAUGGGAGAGGUGAGUGGAACUCCGAGUGUAGAGGUGAAAUUCGUAGAUAUUCGGAAGAACACCAGUGGCGAAGGCGGCCAACUGGUCCGGUACUGACGCUGAGGUGCGAAAGCGUGGGGAGCAAACAGG